rnacentral:rRNA from 1 species
GAGUUUGAUCAUGGCUCAGAACGUACGCUGGCGGCACGCCUAACACAUGCAAGUCGAACGAAGUAGCAAUACUUAGUGGCAGACGGGUGAGUAACAUGUAGGUAUCUGCCCUUUGGCCUGGAAUAACACGAGGAAACUUGUGCUAAUACCGGAUAAGUCUUUACGGAGAAAGCUCUAUGCACCAUUGGAUGAGCCUGCACUUGAUUAGUUUGUUGGUGGGGUAAUGGCCUACCAAGACUGUGAUCAAUAGCUGAUUUGAGAGGAUGAUCAGCCACAUUGGGACUGAGACACGGCCCAAACUCCUACGGGAGGCAGCAGUGGGGAAUCUUGCACAAUGGAGGAAACUCUGAUGCAGCGAUGCCGCGUGAGUGAAGAAGGCCUUUGGGUUGUAAAGCUCUUUCGUCGGGGAAGAAAAUGACUGUACCCGAAUAAGAAGGUCCGGCUAACUUCGUGCCAGCAGCCGCGGUAAUACGAAGGGACCUAGCGUAGUUCGGAAUUACUGGGCUUAAAGAGUUCGUAGGUGGUUGAAAAAGUUAGUGGUGAAAUCCCAGAGCUUAACUCUGGAACUGCCAUUAAAACUUUUCAGCUAGAGUAUGAUAGAGGAAAGCAGAAUUUCUAGUGUAGAGGUGAAAUUCGUAGAUAUUAGAAAGAAUACCAAUUGCGAAGGCAGCUUUCUGGAUCAUUACUGACACUGAGGAACGAAAGCAUGGGUAGCGAAGAGGAUUAGAUACCCUCGUAGUCCAUGCCGUAAACGAUGUGUGUUAGACGUUGGAAAUUUAUUUUCAGUGUCGCAGCGAAAGCGAUAAACACACCGCCUGGGGAGUACGACCGCAAGGUUAAAACUCAAAUGAAUUGACGGGGACCCGCACAAGUAGUGGAGCAUGUGGUUUAAUUCGAAGAUACGCGCAGAACCUUACCAACACUUGACAUGUUCGUCGCGACUCUAAGAGAUUAGAGUUUUCGGUUCGGCCGGACGAAACACAGGUGCUGCAUGGCUGUCGUCAGCUCGUGUCGUGAGAUGUUGGGUUAAGUCCCGCAACGAGCGCAACCCUCACUUUUAGUUGCCAUCAUUAAGUUGGGCACUCUGAAAGAACUGCCAGUGAUAAGCUGGAGGAAGGUGGGGAUGACGUCAAGUCCUCAUGGCCCUUACGUGUUGGGCUACACACGUGCUACAAUGGUAUCUACAACAGGAAGCAAGACUGCGAGGUCAAGCAAAUCCUUAAAAGAUACCUCAGUUCGGAUUGCACUCUGCAACUCGAGUGCAUGAAGCUGGAAUUACUAGUAAUCGUGGAUCAGCGUGCCACGGUGAAUGCGU